AUGGCGAACGAACAGGGAAGAGCUCAGAUUGGAUAUCGGGGCCUGUGGCUCCGAAUUGUAGUCUCGAAAUGCAAUGCCAUCGGGGGCGCAGAUUUAAGCCUCUUGGAAGAGAGCGCCGGCGAGGGUGAGAGUCCCGUUCGUCAAUUUGCAGUCCUCCGUACACGGCUUGCACUUGUUGAGUCACGUUCCUCGGGAUUGGAGCGCAAAUAGGGUGGUAAAUUUCAUCUAAAGCUAAAUAUAUGUUUGAGACCGAUAGCACACAAGUACCAUGAGGGAAAGAUGAAAAGGACUUUGAAAAGAGAGUUAAAAGUGCCUGAAAUUGCUGCAAGGGAAGCGGAUGGAACCAGUCCACGCGGUGAGAUUGUUGGGCGGAGGCGUGCGGGGUUGCACUUUCAACGAAAGUGGGGGUGUGAGUCUCAAUCGCCUUUCGCCUGAUGGUUCUUGCCGUGGGGGUCAUUGGUGAUUGGCAGCCGGGGAAACCUUCAAAGGCAUGGUAGCCCGUCUCCGGAUGGGUGAACGCGUUUGAUAGCACUCGGCCGCUGAUCAUAUCCGAGGUGUCCGGUAACUGGCGGCCUUGAGCGCAACGCGAGAACCAAUCGGUUCUUGCUGCGCGUUCGGCCGUAGGUCCUGACACACAUCUACGACCAAAUGGUUCUUUCCGACCCGUCUUGAAACACGGACCAAGGAGUCUAGCAUAUGUGCGAGUGCUUGGGCUGCAAACCCGUGCGCGCAACGAAAGUGACUGCUGGGAUGUUUGCACCAGCAACCGACUGAUCAAUUGCGAGACGUUUGAGUGUGAGCAUAUCUGCUAGGACCCGAAAGAUGGUGAACUAUGCCUGUGAAGAGCGAACCCAGG
rnacentral:rRNA from 1 species